CCUACGGGAGGCAGCAGUGAGGAAUAUUGGUCAAUGGGCGCAAGCCUGAACCAGCCAAGUAGCGUGAAGGAUGACGGCCCUACGGGUUGUAAACUUCUUUUAUACAGGAAUAAAGUGAGGCACGUGUGCCUGUUUGUAUGUACUUUAUGAAUAAGGAUCGGCUAACUCCGUGCCAGCAGCCGCGGUAAUACGGAGGUUCCGAGCGUUAUCCGGAUUUAUUGGGUGUAAAGGGAGCGUAGAUGGGUUGGUAAGUCAGUUGUGAAAGGUCGCGGCUCAACCGUGGAACUGCAUUUGAGACUGGCAGGCUAGAGUACAGUAGAGGUAGGAGGAAUGCGUGGUGUAGCGGUGAAAUGCGUAGAUAUGACGAAGAACACCGAUGGCGAAGGCAGCUUACUAAACUGCAACUGACGUUGAUGCUCGAAAGUGUGGGUAGCAAACAGGAUUAGAUACCCUAGUAGUC
rnacentral:rRNA from 1 species